UAAGGAAUAUUGGUCAAUGGACGCAAGUCUGAACCAGCCAUGCCGCGUGAAGGAUGAAGGUCCUCUGGAUUGUAAACUUCUUUUAUCUGGGACGAAAACGGGAUUUUUAUCUCAAUUGACGGUACCAGAGGAAUAAGCACCGGCUAACUCCGUGCCAGCAGCCGCGGUAAUACGGAGGGUGCGAGCGUUAUCCGGAUUUACUGGGUUUAAAGGGUGCGUAGGUGGGCUUAUAAGUCAGUGGUGAAAUCUCCGAGCUUAACUUGGAAACUGCCGUUGAUACUAUAGGUCUUGAAUUAUCUGGAGGUAAGCGGAAUAUGUCAUGUAGCGGUGAAAUGCUUAGAUAUGACAUAGAACACCAAUUGCGAAGGCAGCUUACUACAUAUAAAUUGACGCUGAGGCACGAAAGCGUGGGGAGCAAACA
rnacentral:rRNA from 1 species